rnacentral:rRNA from 1 species
UACGGGGGGGGCAAGCGUUGUUCGGAAUUACUGGGCGUAAAGGGUUCGUAGGUGGCUUGCUAAGUCAGACGUGAAAUCCCUCAGCUUAACUGGGGAACUGCGUCUGAGACUGGUGAGCUUGAGUGCAGGAGAGGAACGCGGAAUUCCAGGUGUAGCGGUGAAAUGCGUAGAUAUCUGGAGGAACACCGGUGGCGAAGGCGGCAUCCUGGACCGGUAUUGACGCUGAGGCGCGAAAGCCAGGGGAGCAAACAGG